rnacentral:rRNA from 1 species
AACGAACGCUGGCGGCAUGCCUAACACAUGCAAGUCGAACGAGAUCUUCGGGUCUAGUGGCGCACGGGUGCGUAACGCGUGGGAAUCUGCCCUUUGGUUCGGAAUAACAGUUGGAAACGACUGCUAAUACCGGAUGAUGACGAAAGUCCAAAGAUUUAUCGCCAGAGGAUGAGCCCGCGUAGGAUUAGCUAGUUGGUGUGGUAAAGGCGCACCAAGGCGACGAUCCUUAGCUGGUCUGAGAGGAUGAUCAGCCACACUGGGAAGGAGACACAGCCCAGACUCCUACGGGAGGCAGCAGUGGGGAAUAUUGGACAAUGGGCGAAAGCCUGAUCCAGCAAUGCCGCGUGAGUGAUGAAGGCCUUAGGGUUGUAAAGCUCUUUUACCCGGGAUGAUAAUGACAGUACCGGGAGAAUAAGCUCCGGCUAACUCCGUGCCAGCCGCCGCAGUAA